UACGUAGGGACCGAGCGUUGUCCGGAAUUACUGGGCGUAAAGAGCUCGUAGGUGGUUUGUCGCGUUGUCCGUGAAAACUCACAGCUUAACUGUGGGCGUGCGGGCGAUACGGGCAGACUGGAGUACUGCAGGGGAGACUGGAACUCCUGGUGUAGCGGUGGAAUGCGCAGAUAUCAGGAGGAACACCGGUGGCGAAGGCGGCAUCCUGGACCAACACUGACGCUGAGGAGCGAAAGCCAGGGGAGCAAACGGG
rnacentral:rRNA from 1 species